rnacentral:rRNA from 1 species
UUCGUAGGCGGGCUAUUAAGUCAGAGGUGAAAGCCAUCGGCUCAACCGAUGAAUUGCCUCUGAUACUGUUAGUCUUGAGUCCGUUAGGGGGUGGUGGAAUUCCUGGUGUAGCGGUGAAAUGCGUAAAUAUCAGGAGGAACACCAGUGGCGAAGGCGACCACCUGGGACGGUACUGACGCUGAGGAACGAAAGCAUGGGUAUCAAACAGGAUUAGAUACCCUGGUAGUCC